UCUAGGAGCUUGUACUAAUGCGCGAAAGCGUGAUACAGCGACGCCGCGUGAGUGAUGAAGCCCUUCGGGGUGUAAAGCUCUGUUCUAUGGGAAGAAAAGGGAUUUGUGAAUAGCAGGUUCUGUUGACGGUACCAUAGGAGGAAGUCACGGCUAACUCCGUGCCAGCAGCCGCGGUAAUACGGAGGUGGCGAACGUUGUUCGGAAUCACUGGGUGUAAAGGGUGUGUAGGCGGGCUAGUAAGUCAGAUGUGAAAUCUUGCGGCUCAACCGUAAGCGUGCAUUUGAAACUGUUAGUCUUGAGUACAGAAGAGGAAGGUAGAAUUCUUGGUGUAGCGGUGGAAUGCGUAGAUAUCAAGAAGAAUACCGGUGGCGAAGGCGACCUUCUGGUCUGAUACUGACGCUAAGGCACGAAAGUGUGGGGAGCGAACA
rnacentral:rRNA from 1 species